rnacentral:rRNA from 1 species
GGGGAAUAUUGCACAAUGGGCGCAAGCCUGAUGCAGCCAUGCCGCGUGUGUGAAGAAGGCCUUCGGGUUGUAAAGCACUUUCAGCGGGGAGGAAGGCGGUGAGGUUAAUAACCUCAUCGAUUGACGUUACCCGCAGAAGAAGCACCGGCUAACUACGUGCCAGCAGCCGCGGUAAUACGUAGGGGGCAAGCGUUGUCCGGAAUUAUUGGGCGUAAAGCGCACGCAGGCGGUCUGUCAAGUCGGAUGUGAAAUCCCCGGGCUCAACCUGGGAACUGCAUUCGAAACUGGCAGGCUAGAGUCUUGUAGAGGGGGGUAGAAUUCCAGGUGUAGCGGUGAAAUGCGUAGAGAUCUGGGGGAAUACCGGUGGCGAAGGCGGCCCCCUGGACAAAGACUGACGCUCAGGUGCGAAAGCGUGGGGAGCAAAC